UAUUCUGCCCCACGGGGAAGGAUGAGAAGCUUCGACUAAGGUUCGACUCGAGCGAAGCGAGAGAACGUUGCCGCAGGCAACGGCCCGAAGGGCGAAGCGCUUUAGCGCCGAGUAAUCCUUCCCCCACCACCA
rnacentral:sRNA from 1 species